CACACACACACACACACACAUCAGUGUGAACGGCAAGAAGCCAUCUGCUGUCAGUGUGUGAGCACGAGUGCACCGCUGAGGACGCAGCCGCUCACGAUGCCUCACAGGAGCAAGAAGGAGAAGGGCUCCAGUAAGAAAGUGCCUCCCGCAACUCAGCUGAUGAGGGUGAAGCCGCCGGGGUCACACUCGGCCACGAGGAAGGAGAAGAGGUUCAGCACUUCCUCCUUCCCGCUCAGUACCAACAGAGAGCUCCAGAAGCUGCCUGCGCUCACAGCAUGACAGACGGGAUCAGGCCUAAGUGGUUUCCUGUAAACGACACCCGGCUAUGCUUUGUUCUCGUACCCGAACGAGCUCGGUGACACUACGGAGAAACCGUGGAGCGACGCGGCCGGAGGAUUUGCAAGUUCGACGGGAAACCGAUUCAGUUUUAUCAGUUAACAAGUACAAGUUCUUUGUUACUGUACUUAAGUACAAAAUUCACGUAUCUGUACUUUACUUUGUCAUUUAUAUUUCUUAUAACUUUAACUUUUACUCCACUACAUUUCCUCUAACUAUCUUUGUUACUCG